rnacentral:rRNA from 1 species
AACGAACGCUGGCGGCAGGCUUAACACAUGCAAGUCGAACGGACGUAGCAAUACGUUAGUGGCAGACGGGUGAGUAACGCGUGGGAAUGUGCCCUUUAGUUCGGAAUAACACAGAGAAAUUUGUGCUAAUACCGGAUAAUCCCGAGAGGGGAAAGAUUUAUCGCUGAAGGAGCAGCCCGCGUCUGAUUAACUAGUUGGAGAGGUAAUGGAGCACCAAGGCGACGAUCAGUAGCUGGGCUGAGAGGAUGAUCAGCCACACUGGGACUGAGACACUGCCAAGAAUCCAUCGGGAGACAGCAGUGGGGAAUAUUGGACAAGGGGGGCAACCCGGAUCACGCCAUGCCGCGUGAGUCAUGAAGGCCUUAGGGUUGGAAAACUCUUUUGUCCGGGAAGAUAAUGACUGUACCGGAAGAAUAAGCCCCGGCUAACUGCGUGCCAUCCGCCGCGGUAAAAA